UGUUGGUUGCCGGGGCAACUGAAGCCAUCAAGAGAUCACACCUGCCAGCAGUCAGCUGACUGUAAGGGGCAGGGCCUGGCUCCCAUAUAAAGCCCAGGGGCUGAGGCCAGACUGGCAGUUCCCUGACAGCAGCUAAGGGGGAAGGAGCUCUCUCAGGGAACAGAGGGGAAACCUAACUGGAGGAACAGCAUCUGACACGGCUGAGGAAUGGAGUAUUUCCCGACGUCAGUUUCGAGUUUAUGACGGUUCAUUUGACGUGACGCCACGCCAGUGAACAAGUUUGCUGCGUUGCCCAUCUCUCUGAAGAACAUCUGUCCAAACUUCUUUGGACACCUUCCUUUAAGAAAGCAGACAAGACUCCAGAAAAACCUGCAGCCAAGACUCCAACCAAGAACGCUUCAAAAAGUCCAGCCAAGAGCCCUUCAAAAAGUCCAGCAAAGUCACCUCAAAGAAAUCCUUCCAAAUCAGUCUCGUUGCUAUUUACAAUUUAAAUACAUUAAUGUGGCUAUAUUACUCAUCUAUAAUUGAGUACAAAAUUCUGGGGUAUUUUUGGUGAAAAUAGGGUAUUGGGCCUUGGUUCAGGAAUCAAUCCCUCACUUAUAACAUUGUUCCUAUGGGGAAAAUUGGUUCCAAGUUACAACAUUUUGACUUAAGAUGCAGUUUUCAGGAACCAGUUGAGUCAUAAGUCCAAGGGCUGCCUGUACAUUAAUUUUAGCUGCUUUGCAAAACUUGAAGUGAUAAAAGCUGUCAGAGCAUGCUAAUAAAUAUGCUCCCCCCCUUUUAAAUAAUUGAUGAUUUUAUCAUUCCUGUGGGGGAGUACAAAGACUGCUGCCUACUAAUUUCUAUACAAUAUAAUAAAUAAUAAUCUCAAAUGUAUUAAUGGUCAACAAAGUAUAAAUUAAAAUGAAUUGAUAUUAGGAUGCUGAACAUAUGUGGAUGUUUGAGAUCACCAAGUAGGUUGAGUAACAGUCAUUAAGUACAACAUAUAUACCUGAUAGUUUUAAUAAACAAAGUGAACUGCACUGGGAACAGGUCCAGAAACUACCUGCUUACAUUACAUUAGCAAAGCCAGUGCAGCCUAAAUGAUGAUCUGAUAUCAGGAAAGAAUACAAUAUUAUACUCGGCAUAUAUGCUCAAGUAUUUUUGACAUGUACUAUAAAAGGCUUUACUUAGUCACACUAUCCUGAAUUGGGUGACGCAGGGACACUGUCAUCCCUGUUUGAAAAUGCCUUGGAUAGUCAAUUGGCUUUGACAUCCUUGACAAGAAGAUAAGUGUGCACAAAUCUUUCACCCAUUUCCAAUUAUUUUAGAAAAUGAAAUACAUGUGCGGUGCCAUCCAAUGAGUUACUAAUGGCUAGAUUCUCAGCUGCAUACGCAUCAACACACUGUCAACCCCUUCCCCUCUUUAGAUCAUCCUUCACUGAGUUUUGAGCAUUGUUGGUUACAAAAAGAGUCAGUGCUAAUGGAAUAUCAUAGAUCCAUAUAUCACACUUUUUUUAUACUCUGCAGAAUAUUUAGAGAUGCAUGGCUUUUGUGUAAAGCUUCAGUAGAUGUAUGGAGUCCUCUGAGACCAUGCCAGGUGCUAGAACUCUGUAUAGAAAAUCAGAGCUAUUCUUCUGAUUCUCUCUGGCAGCGAGGCAAGUUAAUUUUUUGUAUCUCCAAUUCAGUAGAUCAGGGAUUCCCUCUAAUGCAAAAGCGAGGAGUAGAAAGGUUGUGGGAGCCAAGUUCAAGUUGUAAUGCAUUUUUUGACAUUUACACUAACAUUGUGUACCCAUACCUAGGCCAUAUCUAGAGCUUGUGAACCUCAUCUGGAGCAGGGUGAGAAUGUUGCCUGACUACAUGCUUAUGUGUGUUCACCUGUGUCACAUAGUUCCAUUUGUGUCCAUAUCCUGUCAGACAUGUAUAUAUGACUUGUGCUGAUACCAGUGAAAAUACUGCUUUGUUGUAUUUGCUUUGGCCACUGUUGUCUCUAUUGCUACCACAGGUGGCUAUACUGUGUGUCUAAGAAUGUUGUUACUAAAUCUUCCAUCAGGGAAAAAGGCUGAACUUUGAAAAUUGAGACUCUAGACAGGAGGCUUAAGAUUAAUUGAUACCUCUGCACUCUGCCUGUGCUUCUGUGGGACUCUUUGCCUUAGUAAAGAGUACUUCUAUAUAUAAAGAUCACAGGAACAUGCUCUGACUAAUUCUUAGCUAUUUGUAAUUAACCUCUCCACUUGUACCCCAAACUAAAACCCCAUGCUCUGUGAUUUUGACUUGAGGCUUAAAUUUACUUAAGUGUUUUGCAAUCUCUCUGAUUUCUGCUUGUUUGAUACCUCUAUAGAUAAUAACAAUUAACAUUUGUAUUCACCAAAUGUUAUUCAACUGGCUAUACUUGUAAGCGAAACAUAUAUUGUAUCUCUGGCUUAACUUUCAAACAAAAAAAGAUACAAAUAUCCCAAAACAGAUUCAAUGUUAAAGAGGAGCAUGGGUUGAAAUAUGCAACUAAGCAGGGCCUUUUUUUUUGGUCUUCACUGAAGAAUCAUUACCACACCUUCAGACUUUUUCAAAGAUAGCAGUCCUGUUUUAACAAUAAUUAAUUGCUAUUACUGUUCAUAAAAUGUCACUACACAGAGAGCCAUUGUUAGAUAAAACUUAUACACAUCCCAGAUGUGAACAUAAAUGACCACCAAGGCAAUCUGACCCAGAAUGUGGGAAACGUUCAGGAUCAAACGUCCUACAGGCAAUUGGUUUUAUAAAGUACAACUGCCCAAGGGUAUGUGCAGAUAUUACAUUUAGAUCAACCGAACUAGGGUUAAGUUGAUCUAAGUGCCAAACUGUACAUACAUUUUUGGAGUUUAAAUCGAGCAAAAAAUGGCCAGCCUGAUUUAACUUCGUUCACCUGAGGAGAACUCUCAGGGGAAGCCACAAGUGACAGUAUUGUCUGCACGUCUCAGGGUUAGCUUUGCCUGUAAACAUGGUAUUAUUAGUUGUUUUCUACUCUUUCACAUGAGAAUGAUGUCUCAUUACUUAGAGGUUUUAUAAUUUGUAUUUAGGCCAACUGUCUCAACAAGCUAUAAACAAAACAGGGAACUAAGAGCCACAGUCCACAAUUUCAACCAGAUCAAAUCUGUGCUGCAUGUCAAUAGCUUUCUAUGUUAUGUUUCUGUAAGUUUGUUUCUUUUUACUAAUGCAAAUAAUAUAAUUCAUUUGUAACAGGAAGGUAAAGGGAAAAUUGGUGUCUCAUUUCUCAAAAGCAGAGUUUUGCGGGAUAAACCACUUACAUUCAAGUAAGUUGUAAAAAAUGGUUAAUCUUUAUUCCUGAGAGAGCUGGGUGGAGCAGGACUGAGAUUCAAAGUAUAAACAGGGUUUAUUCUUGCUGGUGUUAGCUCACCGUAACAGCCAUUGGGUCAAAUUCAGAAAUGGAGAUACAAAAAGGUACAUGUGAGGCACUUAUAUGUUAAUUUAUUUUAGGUGUAAAACCAAAAGGAACUUUAGAAUUCACAAAAUAAGGGAUCAAUCAUACAUGACAGCUUAAGUAAGGGGAAGGUGUGAACAUAGCAUUAGCUCCAGGGACCAACUUAGGGAGGAAGGGGAGUACAAAAAAUGCCCCAUGCACCGCUGCUGCCCAUGGAGUAGAAUUGCCCAGCUAUACCUGUUUCUACAGAUUCCUAUUUACAUGAAUAACCCUUUUGAUACCAGUGGGUGCAUCUACAAGUGCAAUUAAUUUGAAGCAGUAAACUCUGGAGCAGUUUGAUCCAGCCUAAACUACUCACAGGUGCAGCAUCUAUAUGUAUGCCUGGGACAGCAGCAAAUUGAGCCAGGGCAAAACAGUUCAUACCAGGGCUGGAGACAUGGGGGCAGGGGGUUCAGCUCCAGGUGGUGGCAUUGGGCAGUGGAGGGGCUGGCUGUGGCACAAGGGUGCUGAACUUGAGGAGCAAUGUGGCUAGGCAGCAGGCAGGAGUCUGGCCCCCUGCUGGCUGGGCUGACCGGCUGCAAUUUUCACCCAUGGUCAGCAUCUACACGUGCAUUUAAUUGCAGUUAAUUACCCUACCAUAAGAUAGUAGUGUCCCUGACUAUACUAUCUGAUGGCAGCAUUAAAUAGGGUAAUGUGGCCUAAUAGCAUUGCAUGUGUAGACAGCGAUGCUUUGUUCCACAGCUAAUCAGUCUACUCUGUAGUUAAGUGCACGUGUAGACAUGGCCAGUGGGUAUGUUCAGGGAUGUGAUGUUUACUAACAAGGGAAAAGGUUUGCAGCAUCAAGCCUCAAAUAUGGUGUCAGCCCCUAUAGAGAGAAUGGGUCCUAGCAGAACACCCAAGGAUAAACAGGUUGGGUUGACUUGUGGUGUGUCAAUGUAGCUAUACUGCUUUUAGUACCCAUGCUAUCUUAUUCAGUUCCCUGUAGACAUGCACCAAUCCUUUGACACUAGGAACUGGGGUUUUUAGAAAAAACACUAACUAUCAUAAGAGGUUUGACAAGACUUUAUCCCUACUAUGCACUGGGACAUUUUACAUUGGUUUGAACCUGGGCUGUUACCCGGGCAGUGGAUGCAGCUACACAUCACCCUGCAUUGCUGUAACGAUGUGCUACAUCGCCAUAGCACAUUGCUAUGGUGGCAUAAAGUGAUGUGGGUCUACAUGUGACUGGCAGCUACUUCACCAUAGCAGCAUGCUUUCCUGUUUUAGCACACCACUAGAGCCAAGUAGCAGCAAAACCUAACCCCCCACCAUGUGCAUGGUGCAAUACAGGCGGUUACUGCACUGUGCUUUAGUACUUCCAAAAAGAAAUACUAAAGCAUGGCACAGUAACAACAUUGGCAUUGGGUGACACGUAGAUGUGCCCAGUAUGUUCCAUUCUACAGAAUGGGGCUUUCCCAGUAUAAGCCAAGCCAUUGGGAAUCUUUUUGUUCCCUUGAGUAUCCCAGUACUUUGCUUGUGGCAGUGCAGCUCCAUACAACCCCCAAUUUAGGACUGCCCUUAAAGGCACAAUCAAGCCCAUAGAGAAGGAACACAGGAAACCUUUAUUUUUCUACAGGACUGACAUAGUGCAGGCAGCCUCUAUACAAUAAUGUCCCAUUUAUUGGCCCUUUCAGUUAGUUACCUCCUCCUGACUUGGUGAAACCAGAGGUCAUUUAUCUGCAUGGUAACUCUGAGCUCUGAAGCAACCUUAAGAAGCUAACAAUUAUUCAUUGUUUCCCCACUAUUUAUCAUGGUGCUGGGCUAUGAACUCCUCUAGUGUUCUGAGAGAGAGAGAGAUUGUCUAGAACAAUUGCCUCCCCUCUUACUCACAGUCACAUAGACCAGCUCUCUUCCCAUCUGUAGCUCCAUAAUAUGUCUGUGAGAGCUAGGGCAAUUGCUUGCCUGGAAAGGUGAUUUAAGAAAAGUAUUUACUAUGUCUUCCACUUUGUUCUAAAUUCAUUUAGGAGUUGGAGACCAUGAGGAGGCAACAACAUGUGACAAAUCACCAGCACAGGAAAAGCUCACUAUAUAGUAUCUCAUAUAGUACAGAAGACCAUAUAAAGGGGGUGCACCAAGAUCUGGGAGAACGGUUAUUCACCAGGGCUCCCCAAGGGAUAACAAGGUCUAAUGGCCACAAACUUCUGGAAGGCCAAUUUAGAUUGGGAAAAACUUCUUUACAGUCCGAGCGUCCAGGGUCUGUAACAGACUCCCCCCAGAGAUAGUGCAAGCACCUACUCUGGACCCUUUCAAAAAGUGCUUGUCUUGCUGGGAUCAUUUGACCCCAGCAGACUUCCUGCCUAAGGCAGGGGGGCUAGACUUGAUGAUCUUGUGAGGUUCCUUCCAGCUCCUAAUGUCUAUGAAUCUAUGAGUCUAUGACCAUAUGGAAAUUUUUAAGGGUCUUCCUCUGAAAUAAUCUCUGAGGGAAGUAAGUAGAAGUGCUGCCUACUCUCCCUUGGGUUUUCUGAGGGAAGAGGUAAUUUAACUCUCACUAGGGAAUUGUUCCCUGUUAUACUGCAGUAUUCCUGCAUCCUAAAACACUGUGUUCAGACUGAACAUUAUCUGGACAUGACGUACCUUAUUCAUUAUCGGUAUUAUGUGAGUCUUUGUUCUGGUGAUUUCUAACAAUAACAGCUUUGAUGCAUAUUAACUGACUAAGGAUUUUUUCUGGUAGGUUCUUCACCUGCUAGAAACUAGAAUCCUUAAAAUAUGUCAGGAUAAUAAACCCAGAAGUCCAUGCAAAGUAAACUGAUUGUAAAUGUAUUUCUGUUUGACUCAUACAUUAAAUUAAUCGGAGUAUUUUCUGUUAUAUUUGCAAUUUUUCCUUUACAAGUCAAGCCCUGGAACAAGUCCUUGUGUUGUUUAACCCCUGUUUUCCAGGAAUAAAACAGCUACAGUCUAAGAAGUAUGACAUAUAGUACAUGGAACUCACUUCAUGGAAAAUGCAGUUGUGCAAAUUCUCUUUCUGUUUAUUUUGCUCCGGGAAUUAUUCUUGCUUUUGUUAAUGUCUGGGGGCCAGAGGGGCUGAAAUGCAUUUUGCAGCAUUCCACUGAGCUUUGGACAAGUGUACUGAGUUCCUCUAACCAUCUUUUUGUAGCCAGAUCUUAGAGUCCUUUUCUGAAAUUCAGUGGUAGAGAAAUUGUGUUAAAAAAAUCUUAGGUGGUCAAUAGGUGGAUCCUGAAAAGUUGUAAAUUGCUACUCUGGCCCCAAUUCAGUAAGUGUGUAACUUUAAGAACAUGAGUGGUUCUUUAAUUAUGCUAAUAUUAACACAAGCACUUUGCUGAAUUGAGAUCACACUAAUUGAGAACUCAGUACCUAACUGGAUGAAGCCCAGGAUUUGUGGCUAGUGCAAUCAAUAGACCCCCAAUGAUUUACACAUGCUGAAGAUUUACAAUUACAUUUACAUGGCAUCAGGAUCUUCUUUCUAAAUUUGUUAUGAUGAUUCUGGCUGUCUGGUCCUGAUCAGAUUACUUUAAUUCUUAUAGAAAUGCAUAUUGCACAUCAACUGUAAGUUCUGCACAUUUGUAAGGACAACUAUAUUGACUUGAUUUCCCUUUCAUUAGUAUUAGUCCAUUGACUUCAUUGAUGCUACUUUGAGUGUACAUCAGUAUAACUUAGUAGAGAAUUGGGCCCAUGCUGCAAUUACUGAAUAAUUUUGUGUUUUUUUUAAACAGUGAAUGAGCAGUUACUAUGAGUGAAAUUAAAAAAAAAGGACAAUCAAUUUAAUAGCCUCAACUGGGCUUCAGGUUUGAAAAUGAACUCCAAUUUCAGUUCUAUUUAACCAAUGGUAUGAACCAUUAAUUAUUAUUUAGCAGAAAGCCAGGAAUAAGUUGACCCAGAGAUUAAAAUAAAUUUUUCUGGGCUCUGCCUUUUGUUUGAUGAUCGUUCGACAAGAUGAAAUUUCACAGUCUACUUUCUUACAUUAGUCUAUGCUUGUAGAGUUUUCUUAUUUUUAUAAAUAUUUAUCUCAUUUUUAAAGUAAAAAUGGGGCCAAAUUGUGGUUUCAAAUUAAUGGAGGAGAGCAGAGGCUGAAAUUAGCAGCUAUAUAGUUAUUCACCCCCAGGUUCUUCUAUUUGGUUGCUGAAACUAUACACAUCUAUGAGAGCUUUAAAGUGAAUAUUUUAUAAGAACUGAUCUCCAUGUAAAGGAAACCUAAGGAAUUUUUCAAUAUAUAUGUCUCCCAUGGGAAGCGCAUAAACGUAUGCUAUAAAUAACAGAAGCAAAGAGCUGCAUCGUAGUCAGAUUUUACUAGUGUAACUUCGAUUAUUUCGAAUUUUAUAUCUGGGAAUUUAUUAAUAUAUGUAUAGACUAAGAUCGCAUAUACAAUGUUGCCCACUUGGGCUGUGAAAAAUAAAAAGGGAGUAUUUUCCUAACAGAAGUGCUGACUUCUAAUUCAUAGGAACACCUUAAAAAACGUUUUUCUAUUUCAGAUAAAUCAGAAUUUGGCUUAGUCAUUUUAAGGUUGUUCUUGAAAAAUAAUGCAUGAGAUCUAUGUAGCUGGCUAAUUGUUAUGAUAGUGCUGUGCACUAGUUGAUUUAUCUCUUUCAUCAGUUAAUGGGGCAGAACUUAAGAUAAAAUAUUAGAAUAAUUUAUCUCAGAUACCAUGCCUUUUUGCUUUUCCAAAGAAGGAAACCAUAAUUCCCAGAGUGAAUCACAAUGUUAUACACUUUUUCUGCAGUCCUCAACAUCAUUCUUAAACAGUGCUUUCUUUUCUGACCAGCAGCCAGAAAUACGCUCAAAAACUAGACAAAUAGUGUAACAGGAAGCAUUGCUCAUCCUGAGGCGCUUUACAGAAGGAAAACUAAUGUGCACACUAUUUACAUUCUGGGAUCUGUGACGCUAAAUCAUUCAACCCCUGGCUGCACCUGAAGAACAAGUUUAUAUUUAAUGUGAUAUCAUUACAAAUCUCAAGCCAAAUUCUAUUCUCUAACGCACAAGAACUGUGCCAAAUGAAUUCAAUUGAAAUUGUGGAGUAUAGCUGAGAGUAAAACCUGGCACCAAGCUUGAACACCUGGUUCCUUGCUUUUAACAACUAUCCCGGCAAAAUUUGGCUGCAUCUGGGCAGCAGUACAGUGUCAGCCCCUCCGCAUAAUCCUGCAUUGCAUUUGUUUUGUGAUCUUGCAAAUAUCCUGUUCCUUUGAUUUCUAACCCUACAGAAGAACUUGCUCAAUGGCUACCAACUAAAAUAGCUCAACACUUUUGGAGAGAGUGAAAGGAGUGCAGACAACAGAGGCUGCUAUCAGUUGGAGAGGGAUGUAGAAAUAAACAAGUCACUUUAGGAAUAUAAUGAAUCUCACAUGGCAGGUAGCAGAAAUGUCUCUAUCUUUUUACCUGUCAAUUAAAGUCUCCUGGCACAUAAGUUUCCCCCUUUUUGUCCAUCGUCAUGCCUGGCUUGAGGAUUAAUUUUUCAAUUCAUUAAGAUUCUUAAACAUACAGCAUGUGUAUGUAGCUUUAUGCAUGUGAGUAAUUAUUGAAAUAAGUCAUGAGAAUGGCCUGAUGUUUGACUCAUUCAUCACACGAAGGACUUAGUCUAUAUUCCUUGUGCAGCUGAUAUUUCUACUGAAGGGAACAGUGAACAGGAGGUCUUAUAUUUUUGGGCAUGCAGUGAGCAUGUCCAGAUGAAUAUGUAUGUGCGGUUUGUGGCGCUGCAAACUGCAGGUGGUGAGUGUGCAACAAGUAAGACUGUUAGAGACAGCCCAGGUGCUGGCCCCAGCCUCUCCUACCUUACCUGGGACAAUUUGGCAUGCCCCAGAGCGUGCGUGCAGGGGCGUGCCCUGGGACACAAAGUAGCUGCACAAAUAUGUGCUGCUGUUAUUUGUGCUGCAGCAAAUGCAUGCCCCUGCAUGUGGGGACACGCUCAAUAUAGCUAUACUGUUUUGUAUUAUCUGUACUAAUAUAUUGCUUGAUAUGAUCUAAGUUUUAAAAAUAUGUUGGGAGAAUUCAUAUGAAAGACAGUUUACUAAUAUGCACUGUAUUUAUGAAACUGAUCUACAUCACUCUAAGCCUCUGUAUACAUUGUGGAAUUGUAGGGGAGAAGCACACUAUUGUGAGCAAAGUAAGACCUAUAAAAAUGCAGGGGUAUUAUAUUGUUAUAGUCUAACAUACUUGAGCAAUUAGCAUAAUUCUGAUUUUAAACUGGAAUAAAAUCAGCCAGCUGGAAGUUAGAUUUAUCAUGUUUCACAUUUUUGCCACAGAGAGACAGAAUUAACUGACUCAAGAGUGAAAACACCAGAAGUUGCCAGGACCUUAUCUGCAUUAUAGAACCAUAACUUGCAGCUGGAUUAGUAGUGGUAGAGGUGUAUAUAUUGUCUAACAUUCCCUUGUGCAGAAAAGACCAGGUACAUAAUAAAGUUUUGUGUGUGCGUGUGUAUGAAAUAGGUGUUUCAUCUUCUUUUUAUUGUAGUUUUUUAAAGAAAUUGAUGCAGAGAUGAUAAUUUGGCUUUCAUUAAGCAAAUGAAUCCUUUUUUUUCCCAUAUAAGGGAACCAUACAUUUAUGACUCUAAAACAUACUAUUUUUAUUGAGCAUAGUUUGGAAAUCCAUAUAUGUUUUCCUAAGCUCUUCCAUGCUAAUGACAUAACAUAAUCAGAGUAAUGUAAACCAAAACCCAGACAAUGACCUUUGUUUCCUACACUAAAACCAGAGGCAUUACAACUUGUACUCUGUUAAUCUGUUUGUUUGUAUUUAUUACAAUGUACAGAAUGGAAACUAAAGAAUAUCACAUAUAUACAGUCUUCAUUAAAGAAAAUUAUUUUAAGUAGUGUUUCAGCUUGGCAAACUAAAUAACUUAAGAACUGGAACUUGGUAUAUACUCUUUGUGAAAGUUUAUCCUUCCCUGAAUGCAUUAGUUAAUUUAGCCUAUUGUGAUGUACAGUUGUUUCAGAAGAGGAAGAAUGUGCAUUGGGAGCAAACUAUAAAGUCUCAGGAUCUGGUGAACUCCUCACUUAUUUCUAUUGUGGGCCAUAUAAGGAGGUUUCAUGUGUAAAUUGAUUAGAUUAUUCUUUUGCAUGAAGUAUGAAAAGCCAAAAAGUGUGUGUGUGUGUAAAAUCAGGUUUUCUUGCCUGAGUUUUACAGUUGGAUUAACAGAACAAUAAAUCACAUUUCUCUUAUUUG